GACGGGUACCCCUCCUGCUCCCCACGGCCUCUCCUCCAUGUUUGCUCAAGCCUGGCAGUGAUCCCCAGGAGUGUAACCUGCUCCAUUGCAUUCAUCCACCAAAGCUACCCAUAAACCCCAAAGCCAAGGAAGGCAUCUCAGUCACUUUGGAGGUGGGCCACACAGAUGAUGUAGUCUGUCCUGCCACAGUCUUUGAAGUCAGACUCAACUGGGAGAAAUCUUCCGCAGUGAGCUUAAGAAUGGCACUCAGCUGACCCCAUGAAGGAGAAAAAUACCAUUGCAUAAAUCCCAUGUUCUCUGAGAGACAAAGGGACGUUUGAGACAUUGCUCCUGUCUUGCAAAGCUGAGGAAUUUGCCAGAGAGGCAGUCUUAAAUCACUUAGGUUUGUCUGAGAUUUCAGCUCUUCACAGAACACCCACAUCAUGGCAUAUGACAGAAGUUGACGUGGUUGUCCCUGCUGCGGUGACACUGGAUUCCCAAACGGACUUGCAGAGAGUGUCCGCUGUGCCACCUCUAAAGGACACUGCUGGGGUUGAGCUGAUGAGGAGAGCCUGAAGCUGAAGUCAGCGUGGGGGCAGAGCACCCACCCUGAUGAAGCACGUGUGAAGUCAGCCGUGGGACGAGCGUCAUGCUUCCUUGUUGCUGUGCGAGUUUCAGAAUCCCCACCUUGGAAAUCAGCAGGGAGAAUGAACAUAAAUGCAUGAGACAUUCUCACCAAACACUGACAUGUGGAUGGCCCCAGAGAAAGCCCCAGGUACUUGGUGAGGUCAGAGGCUCACAGCCCUCUAGCCCCCCAAGCAGUUGUCACCUGUCCGGCUGUGGCAGCCAGCACCCCUGGGUCCGGGGAAGUGCGAGCCAUUGCUCUACCAGUAAAGGACUCGUGAGGUUCAUGGUGGCACAAAGCCAGCCAGUACGACACAAUUGCCAGAGCAGUCUGGUGUAGACCGGGUCACCGGCAUGGGGGUCAACGGGGCUGCAUCCUGGAGGAGGUGGGGCUGUCUAGUGGAAUUGGAGAUGGAGCCUUCAUCCAAUUGAAGACUACUCAUCUUGCCGCUGUUGCUUUAAAAGUGCACAGAUGUCCUUCUGCUCUCUCCUCUUCCUUGUUACUGAUGAGAACCUGGCUUGUUCCACAAGACACUUAGGACCUGAGCAUCUCUGAUUUGUGGUAGUUAAGUAUUCCAUAACUACUACUACUACUACUACUACUAAUGAUGAUGAUGGUGACAUGUGAAUUCGUGUGGUGCUUGAUCACUCCCAAAGUGCUGAUAUUUGGAAACUCAGCUUUGCAUCAUGGCAACCCCGUGGGAAUUCUUGUCUUUAAUACCCCCACACCCCCUGAUUCUCACCUGCAUGUCAGGUGCUCCUGAGUCUUGAGCCCAUAGUUGCCAGAGGCCAGGUCUCUGCCUCUGACCUCAGCAUGGACCUCCCAGGCCCCUUCCUUUCAUACACUUCACCCAACCUUCUCAGUCCUGGGCUUUCCCGGGGGACCCUUUCUGUCCCUCUCCCACCGGAUGAGGCCCUCCUCGCUUAACCAACCUCACACCCAGCAUAUUCCCUCACAAAGCUUGUGUAGUGCGUGCUUGCUCAUCUGUGGGACUGUGCGUGGUCACUGCGCGUGGUCUGGUAGAAGGUUGGUUUGGAGCCGAGUUCCAUAGGCAGGCUGGUGUGUGCAGACACAACUUCCGGCUCUGUCCAGGCCCCCCAGUUGGAGCAGGUGUGGCUUCAGCCCCCUGGCCUCACGCCACGUGGUGAUGCUGUCGUGAUAACAUGGAUGGGCCACUUUAAGCCCAUGGAAGAGGGCCUGGGACGCUCGCAGCAAGCAGUGUUGUCAUUACGUGAGGGCUACACGCGGUCCCUGCUGAGGGUGGCUUCAUGCUCCCAGGGACUUUGGCUCCUGUUCUCCAUUGCGUCCCCAGUGCCCACCAUAGCACGGGCACAUGACAGGCUCUUGAUAAACAUCUCUUGAAUAAAAGGAUGAAAUGGAUGAGUUCAAGGGGGAAAAAAAGAUUGGUUCCUAAAGCCCAGACAAACAUGGUUACCAUUUAGACCUGCUUUAGGGGAGGUAAGAAAAGAAGUGCUCUGCUUUUGGGCCGGUAUGAUGGGAACCACUUGUCAUAGCUGCGACACGACACCAGGCAUGCUGCUGGCUGGUCCUUUAUUCUGAAGACAAAUGAUGGGUCUCUUCAUGUAGCUGGGGGGCAUGUGGGCUGCGGACUCUGGGGGAGGAGAGUUGUUCUUCCCUGCUUUAUACUGAUCUACAAGAUAUGUCCUCCCAGAGACCAAAACCUUUCUGAGGGUAGACCUUAUCUUAUUCACUGUUGCAUUCCCUCGUGCUUGGCCUAAAGCAUUAUACCUGAAAAUAUGUUGACUUGAUUUUUGGUUUCUUAGUGGAUAAAAGGGUAGGGAAAGAAGUCGAUAACAUGAGAGUGGAAGCUGACAUUUAAAAAAUUCUUUCGGCUUUGCCAUAUAAAAGCCCCACAACAAAAAGAGUAUACAAUAUAUUCUUAUAUGGUCAAGGACGCUGGCUAACUCCGUCCCUCUUCCAGUGCCCGAUAAUCUCCUUUUUCCUCAUGGGGUUUCCUGAGCUUCAGUCCAUUUCUUGGUAAACAUUAAGUGAAUUUUGGUCUAUUGUUUUGCUUUUAAAUGAGAAUGAAUUUCAAGUAGAAAUUCAUGUAAUGUCAUGUAGAUGAAAUUAGCCUGAUUGUAAUAUUCCAAUACUUUUAUGGUUUAAAGGAAAUACAGUUUUGUUAUCUGGGAUGGUUUUCUAAUGAUGAAAAGAGAAAAUGAGAGCUUUAAUUAUCAAAGAAAGAACCAUGCAGAGAAUGGUCUAUGUAGACAUCUUAAGUAGAAGAAAAAACCCAACAACCCCCCAAGUAUUGCUGUUUCUUAAUUAUGCAGUCUCAAGAUAAGUGUUAGAAUAAUUCUUUUAUUAGAGACUCAGCGUCUGUGAGAAAUUCAUAUUUUUGUUAUUUACUUGUAAAGCUUUUAAACAUCUCUUACUUAAAAGGAAUGAUAAUAAGCCCGAGGAGAGCAGCUCACCAAUCAGUCUCUAAACUGAUACAAAUAGGAGCUGUAAUCAGGUUAACCGGCAGUACUUGCUUCCUCAUCUAGAAAUUUCUUAUCGGCUUUGGGACUGCUCUGCGUGAGCAAAGCUGACAAGGUUCCUGCUCUUGUGGAGUUCAUGGUCUCAAGAAGUAACCAGAAAAUGAAAAGCAAAUAGUCACACACAUAUACAUAUAACUACCUCUCUUUUCUUCUCUCUUUUUUUUAAACUACUUUUCAUAGUAAGUGUUUCAAGGGAGGA